CAUGUUAAAUGUAUAUUUUCUUUUAAUAACCAAACUUUUACACAUAUUUUUCUAUUAUAUCCGUAGUGUGACGACCCCAAAAUAGGUCCAUUCCACCCAACCCAUUCUGAGUCGCCAAAUACAUGGUACAGAAAUAGCUACAACUUCAAUAAUACAAAUGUCGUGUGAAAUACGACAAUACAUACUGUGAGUUUAAAUACAGAUAUUGCCGUCUA
rnacentral:lncRNA from 1 species